UACGAAGGGGGCUAGCGUUGCUCGGAAUCACUGGGCGCAAAGCGCACGUAGGCGGCUUUCUAAGUCAGGGGUGAAAUCCUGGAGCUCAACUCCAGAACUGCCUUUGAUACUGGAGAGCUAGAGUCCGGAAGAGGUGAGUGGAACUGCGAGUGUAGAGGUGAAAUUCGUAGAUAUUCGCAAGAACACCAGUGGCGAAGGCGGCUCACUGGUCCGGUACUGACGCUGAGGUGCGAAAGCGUGGGGAGCAAACAGG
rnacentral:rRNA from 1 species